GCAGACACAUUCCAGCCAAUCAGCAGCAGACCCUCCCUCCCAGUCCCUCCCACCUCCUGGACAGCUCACUAAGCUUCAAAAUGGAUGCUGUCCAGGAGGUGGGAGGGUCUGGGAGGGAGGGUCUGCUGCUGAUUGGCUGGAAUGUGUCUG